rnacentral:rRNA from 1 species
GACGAACGCUGGCGGCGCGCCUAACACAUGCAAGUCGAACGAGCGAGAGAAAGCUUGCUUUCUCGAGCGAGUGGCGAACGGGUGAGUAACGCGUGAGGAACCUGCCUCAAAGAGGGGGACAACAGUUGGAAACGACUGCUAAUACCGCAUAAGCCCACGACCCGGCAUCGGGUAGAGGGAAAAGGAGCAAUCCGCUUUGAGAUGGCCUCGCGUCCGAUUAGCUAGUUGGUGAGGUAACGGCCCACCAAGGCGACGAUCGGUAGCCGGACUGAGAGGUUGAACGGCCACAUUGGGACUGAGACACGGCCCAGACUCCUACGGGAGGCAGCAGUGGGGAAUAUUGCACAAUGGGGGAAACCCUGAUGCAGCGACGCCGCGUGGAGGAAGAAGGUCUUCGGAUUGUAAACUCCUGUUGUUGAGGAAGAUAAUGACGGUACUCAACAAGGAAGUGACGGCUAACUACGUGCCAGCAGCCGCGGUAAAACGUAGGUCACAAGCGUUGUCCGGAAUUACUGGGUGUAAAGGGAGCGCAGGCGGGAAGACAAGUUGGAAGUGAAAUCCAUGGGCUCAACCCAUGAACUGCUUUCAAACUGUUUUUCUUGAGUAGUGCAGAGGUAGGCGGAAUUCCCGGUGUAGCGGUGGAAUGCGUAGAUAUCGGGAGGAACACCAGUGGCGAAGGCGGCCUACUGGGCACCAACUGACGCUGAGGCUCGAAAGUGUGGGUAGCAAACAGGAUUAGAUACCCUGGUAGUCCACACUGUAAACGAUGAUUACUAGGUGUUGGAGGAUUGACCCCUUCAGUGCCGCAGUUAACACAAUAAGUAAUCCACCUGGGGAGUACGACCGCAAGGUUGAAACUCAAAGGAAUUGACGGGGGCCCGCACAAGCAGUGGAGUAUGUGGUUUAAUUCGACGCAACGCGAAGAACCUUACCAAGUCUUGACAUCCUGCGACGGUUCUGGAAACAGAACUUUCCUUCGGGACGCAGAGACAGGUGGUGCAUGGUUGUCGUCAGCUCGUGUCGUGAGAUGUUGGGUUAAGUCCCGCAACGAGCGCAACCCUUAUGGUCAGUUACUACGCAAGAGGACUCUGGCCAGACUGCCGUUGACAAAACGGAGGAAGGUGGGGAUGACGUCAAAUCAUCAUGCCCUUUAUGACUUGGGCUACACACGUACUACAAUGGCGUUAAACAAAGAGAAGCAAGACCGCGAGGUGGAGCAAAACUCAGAAACAACGUCCCAGUUCGGACUGCAGGCUGCAACUCGCCUGCACGAAGUCGGAAUUGCUAGUAAUCGCAGAUCAGCAUGCUGCGGUGAAUACGUUCCCGGGCCUU